CCCACAUAAUGCUCAUACACCCAUAAUGCUGGCAAAGCAUCAUGGGAGGUGUAGUCCAAAACAUCUGCAGUGCCGAAGUGAUGUACACAGCCAAGUGAUUUUAACUAUUGGGUCAGGACUACAUGUUUGUUGCUGUUCCUUUAAGAUGCAUUUUAUUAAUUUCUAGGCUUCUGCACAAAUUCUUUUUAGCUGGUAUGAACAGAUC